GCUGUCAGAAGCCACCUUUCCCUUUAUACUUUGUGUGCCAGGGAGUACUGGCAAUUGAUCAAGCUUAACUUCAGACGCGUUUGGAAUAUGGCUAUGGGUUAUAUCCAUCAAUUUUAGCCCAUUAAAUGACAGGGUGGAAGUCGGAUUAUCAAGGUACGUUAAGUUUUUCAACCAACGAUGUUCCAGCAACAUGCUUGCUGAUGGCCUGUCUGCAGGAUUUCUUCUAAAGCAGCAAUUUAGAAAAUCCUUGCCAUCAGGUGACAGUGUUUCAGGUAUUGGUGGGGUAUCCUUGAGAACUUUAAACAUGGCUGAAGCCCCUUCAUAAUCACUCCAAGGAGGUUUUCCAGUGAACAUUUCAAUAAUAGUACAGCCCAGGCUCCAAAUGUCAACUGCAAGUGCAAGAUCAGAGCUGGUGUCAUUCCGCAUUACAGCUUGCAUAAGCUCAGGAGCCAUCCAGUAUGGACUUCCCUUCAAAGAAAGCUCAGCUGCUUGUCCAGUAAGAUGUUUCGACAUCCCAAAAUCAGCAAGCUUGACAACACCAGAUGCAUCAACAAGCAAAUUAGCGCCUUUUAUGUCCCUGUGUAUUGUCUUUGUGCUGUGCAAGUAGGCUAACCCAGAGAGAAUGUGGCGAGUAAAACUACGAACAACAUUUUCUGUUAUGGCUCCACAAUGUUCACGGACAUAUUUAUUGAUUGAACCAGGAUGAACAUACUCUAGAUAUAUAUAGAAGCAGUCUUCAAAUAUUUCACUACCAUAAUACUGCACAAUGUUUGGAUGCUUCAGCUGGCUGAGAAUUUUAAUUUCCUGUUCUAAUUGCUUUAUAGACUCUGCAGAUUU
rnacentral:misc_RNA from 1 species